AUGUAAUCAACGCUACUCUCUUUGCACUUACUCAAGUUAUUGUUAUUGUGACUGACGUAAUGCUGUUAUAAAACUGUGAUAUGCAAACACACAGCCAACAAUCUGGUAAUUUAAUGUUGAUUUACAAGAUCACGAUCCUCAACCACACACCCUGUUGCCGGUAACUUUGACAACAAACUCAGACAGUUGGAAAACAGAUUGGAAAAAUGUGUCACGGAUUGACAGGUGAGGAUCCAGCGUCAAAGGUUAAUUUGCGGGUACAGGACCUGAAUUGGUAGGAAAGGGCAUCCACGGCGUUCCACGUUUUUUCAGGGAACCACGAACUUAUUCAUGGACUUCGCGCCUUUUGGCGUUCGCUAAUUGUCACUACAACAUUUUAAUAUGGAAAUUUGAGAUGUUUGCAUGGGACGACUGAACUGAAGAAGAAAUUUGGUAACCAAAAGGAAUAAAUCGACAUAUUAUAAGAAAACAUAUUGUCGUGAAAGGUUCAUAAUUUCUGGAAAUCUAAAUAUUUGACCUGAGAAUAAUGUAUUCGAAUACUAAAAUCAGCAUUCGAAAUGACCACUACUUUAAAAUACACUUUAAAUGGAAAACCAAAGUAAACAGACAACCAAUAUAAUGACCCCAUGAUGUAAAUGAAUGAGAGUUGGUAGAAUUUGGUGGGUAGUAUUUAAAGCAAAUUCAGAAAAUAAUUUUAACAUAAAGUAAGCAAUCAGGCUUUUUGUACCUUAUAUAAGAUGUUAUUUUGUAUCAGAAUCGUUUUACGAUUUAAUGUCAGAUGUCAAAUGUUUUCACAAGCCAGUAGGCUACUUUUGAGACGGAUGUCACCCCUUUGAGUAAUUCAUAAGUUAAAAAAUAAAACAAAUAUUUACUUACUAAAAAUCCAUUAAGUAAGGUGGCCCAUAAUGGGGGAAAACGCCGUUCUUUAAAUUCGCUUUGUCCCAAAAGAU